rnacentral:rRNA from 1 species
CAGGACGAACGCUGGCGGCGUGCCUAAUACAUGCAAGUCGAGCGAAUGACGAGGAGCUUGCUCCUUGAUUAGCGGCGGACGGGUGAGUAACACGUGGGCAACCUGCCCUGUAGACUGGGAUAACUUCGGGAAACCGGAGCUAAUACCGGAUAAUCCAUUUCACCUCAUGGUGAAAUGUUGAAAGGCGCAUCUCGCGUCACUACAGGAUGGGCCCGCGGUGCAUUAGCUAGUUGGUGGGGUAACGGCCUACCAAGGCAACGAUGCAUAGCCGACCUGAGAGGGUGAUCGGCCACAUUGGGACUGAGACACGGCCCAAACUCCUACGGGAGGCAGCAGUAGGGAAUCUUCCACAAUGGACGAAAGUCUGAUGGAGCAACGCCGCGUGAGUGAUGAAGGUUUUCGGAUCGUAAAACUCUGUUGUAAGGGAAGAACAAGUACGUUAGGAAAUGAACGUACCUUGACGGUACCUUAUUAGAAAGCCACGGCUAACUACGUGCCAGCAGCAGC